rnacentral:rRNA from 1 species
AGCAGCCGCGGUAAUUCCAGCUCCAAUAGCGUAUAUUAAAGUUGUUGCAGUUAAAAAGCUCGUAGUUGAACUUCGGAAUUUAUUCAUUGGUCAGGCUUAACUGUCUGUACUGGUGUAUUGAAUUCCUACCUUCUGAGGAAUCAUCAUGUCAUUAACUUGGUGUGGUGGGGAAUCAGGACUGUUACUUUGAAAAAUUAGAGUGUUUAAAGCAGGCUAACGUCUGAAUACAUUAGCAUGGAAUAAUAGAAUAGGACGGUUUGGUUCUAUUUUGUUGGUUUCUAGGAUCACCGUAAUGAUUAAUAGGGAUAGUUGGGGGCAUUAGUAUUCAAUUGUCAGAGGUGAAAUUCUUGGAUUUAUUGAAGACUAACUACUGCGAAAGCAUUUGCCAAGGAUGUUUUCAUUAAUCAAGAACGAAAGUUAGGGGAUCGAAGACGAUCAGAUACCGUCGUAGUCUUAACCAUAAACUAUGCCGACUAGGGAUCGGACGAUGUUAAUUUUU